CUCAUUAAAAGAGUGCGUAAUAGCUCACUGGUCGAGUGACUCUGCGCCGAAAAUUUAACGGGGCUAAACUAUACACCGAAGCUUGGGAUACAUCUAAUGUAUGGUAGGAGAGCGUUCUGUAUGGGGAGAAGUCGUAGCGAAAGCGGCGGUGGACUAUACAGAAGUGAGAAUGCCGGAAUAAGUAGCGAGAAUUAAGUGAGAAUCUUAAUGGCCGAAAGUCUAAGGUUUUUGGAGGAAGGUUCGUCCGCUCCAAGUAAGUCGGGAGCUAAGGUCAGGCCGAAAGGCGUAGCCGAUGCACAUACGGUUGAUAUUCCGUAACCAUCUGUAAUUUAAGCAAAGGGACACUUCAAAAGGGUGUGACCCGGGCGUUGGUUGACCCGGGCGUAAGGGACCGAAAUUAGAGUAGGGAAGCACACUUAGCUGAAGGCGAGAAAAGCUUUGCGUAUAGAAACAGAUGCCCGUACCGCAAACCGACACAGGUGGACAGGAAGAGAAUUCUAAGGCCAGCGGGAGAAGGGUAGUUAAGGAACUCGGCAAAUUGACUCCGUAACUUCGGAAUAAGGAGUGCUCGAAAGAGCCGCAGAGAAUAGGCCCAGGCGACUGUUUAGCAAAAACACAGGUCUCUGCCAAAUCGAAAGAUGAAGUAUAGGGGCUGACACCUGCCCGGUGCCGGAAGGUUAAGAGGAGGAGUGAGAGCUCCGAAUUGAAGCCCCGGUAAACGGCGGCCGUAACUAUAACGGUCCUAAGGUAGCGAAAUUCCUUGUCGGGUAAGUUCCGACCCGCACGAAUGGUGUAACGAUCUGGGCACUGUCUCAACUACCCACCCGGCGAAAUUGUAGUACCGGUGAAGAUGCCGGUUACCUGCGGCAAGACGGAAAGACCCCAUGGAGCUUUACUGUAGCCUGAUAUUGGGUUUCGGAAAUCUAUGUACAGGAUAGGCGGGAGACUGGGAAACAUGAGCGUCAGCUUGUGUGGAGUCGAUGUUGGGAUACCGCCCUUAGGUUUCUGGAAUUCUAACCUGCGGCCGUGAAUCCGGUCGGGGGACAUUGUCAGGUGGGCAGUUUGACUGGGGCGGUCGCCUCCGAAAAGGUAACGGAGGCGCUCAAAGGUUAGCUCAGCACGGACGGAAACCGUGCCUCUGAGUGUAAACGCAAAAGCUAGCCUAACUGCGAGGGUGACGGCCCGAGCAGUAACGAAAGUUGGAGUUAGUGAUCCGGCGGUAUGUGAAUGGAAAUGCCGUCGCUCAACGGAUAAAAGCUACCCUGGGGAUAACAGGCUGAUCU
rnacentral:rRNA from 1 species